UGAGGAUUAUCCUCAGGCAGGGAUUAAGUGACAUCUGAUACAUCAAGUGCCACACAGCGCCUGGCCCGAUGCCAAGUGCUCGACAGGUGCCAGUCCCCUUCCUUUCUGCCUCUGUCCACUUCACUCCUGCUGUCUGCCCUUUCAGUCUGGCACCCCUGGCAGCUCUACCUGAACUGGGAUGACCCACUGGCAAGGUUGUCAAGGCAGAGUUUCUGCAUGUGCCUUUUGUCACAAGGCUGGAUGUGGAAGGCUGAGUAAGGUUGGUGCAGAGGCUGUCGGGGGGUCCAGCUUAACCUAAUCCUGAUUGAUAGAGAGCUAUCGGGAAGGACAACCACUGGGCUUCUGAGAUGACCGGCUGGAAGCCUGAACCCGCCGGAUGGUCAUCUUGCCACCGCAUGGGAAGGAAGGUUGCCUGAAUAAAGCUGACAUAGAAGGAGGCAAGCUUCCUGAGGCCUCAACCAGGAGCAGAUGCCAGCACCAUGCUUCUUGCACAACCUGCAGAACCAGAAACCAAAAUAAACUUUUCUUUAUAAAUUACCCAGCCUCACACAUUCCUUC
rnacentral:lncRNA from 1 species